GAGGUCUGAUCUCGGUGAGAGUGAUUUGAGCGUUUGUUUUGAGGUCUGAUCUCGGUGACAGUGAUUUGAGUGUUUGUUUUGAGGUCUGAUCUCGGUGAGAGUGAUUUGAGUGUUUGUUUUGAGGUCUGAUCUCGGUGAGAGUGAUUUGAGUGUUUGUUUUGAGGUCUGAUCUCUGUGAGAGUGAUUUGAGUGUUUGUUUUGAGGUCUGAUCUCUGUGAGAGUGAUUUGAGGGUUUGUUUUGAGGUCUGAUCUCUGUGAGAGUGAUUUGAGGGUUUGUUUUGAGGUCUGAUCUCUGUGAGAGUGAUUUGAGGGUUUGUUUUGAGGUCUGAUCUCUGUGAGAGUGAUUUGAGUGUUUGUUUUGAGGUCUGAUCUCAGUGAGAGUGAUUUGAGUGUUUGUUUUGAGGUCUGAUCUCUGUGAGAGUGAUUUGAGUGUUUGUUUUGAGGUCUGAUCUCUGUGAGAGUGAUUUGAGUGUUUGUUUUGAGGUCUGAUCUCUGUGAGAGUGAUUUGAGCGUUUGUUUUGAGGUCUGAUCUCGGUGACAGUGAUUUGAGUGUUUGUUUUGAGGUCUGAUCUCGGUGAGAGUGAUUUGAGCGUUUGUUUUGAGGUCUGAUCUCGGUGACAGUGAUUUGAGUGUUUGUUUUGAGGUCUGAUCUCGGUGACAGUGAUUUGAGUGUUUGUUUUGAGGUCUGAUCUCGGUGACAGUGAUUUGAGUGUUUGUUUUGAGGUCUGAUCUCGGUGAGAGUGAUUUGAGUGUUUGUUUUGAGGUCUGAUCUCGGUGAGAGUGAUUUGAGUGUUUGUUUUGAGGUCUGAUCUCGGUGAGAGUGAUUUGAGUGUUUGUUUUGAGGUCUGAUCUCGGUGAGAGUGAUUUGAGUGUUUGUUUUGAGGUCUGAUCUCAGUGAGAGUGAUUUGAGGGUUUGUUUUGAGGUCUGAUCUCGGUGAGAGUGAUUUGAGGGUUUGUUUUGAGGUCUGAUCUCGGUGAGAGUGAUUUGAGUGUUUGUUUUGAGGUCUGAUCUCGGUGAGAGUGAUUUGAGUGUUUGUUUUGAGGUCUGAUCUCGGUGAGAGUGAUUUGAGUGUUUGUUUUGAGGUCUGAUCUCUGUGAGAGUGAUUUGAGGGUUUGUUUUGAGGUCUGAUCUCUGUGAGAGUGAUUUGAGCGUUUGUUUUGAGGUCUGAUCUCGGUGAGAGUGAUUUGAGUGUUUGUUUUGAGGUCUGAUCUCGGUGAGAGUGAUUUGAGUGUUUGUUUUGAGGUCUGAUCUCGGUGAGAGUGAUUUGAGUGUUUGUUUUGAGGUCUGAUCUCGGUGAGAGUGAUUUGAGCGUUUGUUUUGAGGUCUGAUCUCGGUGAGAGUGAUUUGAGCGUUUGUUUUGAGGUCUGAUCUCGGUGAGAGUGAUUUGAGUGUUUGUUUUGAGGUCUGAUCUCGGUGACAGUGAUUUGAGUGUUUGUUUUGAGGUCUGAUCUCGGUGACAGUGAUUUGAGUGUUUGUUUUGAGGUCUGAUCUCGGUGACAGUGAUUUGAGCGUUUGUUUUGAGGUCUGAUCUCUGUGAGAGUGAUUUGAGCGUUUGUUUUGAGGUCUGAUCUCGGUGAGAGUGAUUUGAGUGUUUGUUUUGAGGUCUGAUCUCGGUGAGAGUGAUUUGAGUGUUUGUUUUGAGGUCUGAUCUCAGUGAGAGUGAUUUGAGGGUUUGUUUUGAGGUCUGAUCUCGGUGACAGUGAUUUGAGGGUUUGUUUUGAGGUCUGAUCUCGGUGACAGUGAUUUGAGUGUUUUGAGGUCUGAUCUCGGUGACAGUGAUUUGAGUGUUUGUUUUGAGGUCUGAUCUCUGUGACAGUGAUUUGAGGGUUUGUUUUGAGGUCUGAUCUCGGUGACAGUGAUUUGAGGGUUUGUUUUGAGGUCUGAUCUCAGUGACAGUGAUUUGAGUGUUUGUUUUGAGGUCUGAUCUCGGUGACAGUGAUUUGAGUGUUUGUUUUGAGGUCUGAUCUCAGUGAGAGUGAUUUGAGUGUUUGUUUUGAGGUCUGAUCUCAGUGAGAGUGAUUUGAGGGUUUGUUUUGAGGUCUGAUCUCAGUGAGAGUGAUUUGAGGGUUUGUUUUGAGGUCUGAUCUCUGUGAGAGUGAUUUGAGUGUUUGUUUUGAGGUCUGAUCUCAGUGAGAGUGAUUUGAGGGUUUGUUUUGAGGUCUGAUCUCAGUGAGAGUGAUUUGAGUGUUUGUUUUGAGGUCUGAUCUCAGUGAGAGUGAUUUGAGGGUUUGUUUUGAGGUCUGAUCUCAGUGAGAGUGAUUUGAGGGUUUGUUUUGAGGUCUGAUCUCAGUGAGAGUGAUUUGAGGGUUUGUUUUGAGGUCUGAUCUCAGUGAGAGUGAUUUGAGGGUUUGUUUUGAGGUCUGAUCUCUGUGAGAGUGAUUUGAGUGUUUGUUUUGAGGUCUGAUCUCAGUGAGAGUGAUUUGAGGGUUUGUUUUGAGGUCUGAUCUCAGUGAGAGUGAUUUGAGGGUUUGUUUUGAGGUCUGAUCUCUGUGAGAGUGAUUUGAGGGUUUGUUUUGAGGUCUGAUCUCGGUGAGAGUGAUUUGAGUGUUUGUUUUGAGGUCUGAUCUCAGUGAGAGUGAUUUGAGUGUUUGUUUUGAGGUCUGAUCUCUGUGAGAGUGAUUUGAGUGUUUGUUUUGAGGUCUGAUCUCGGUGAGAGUGAUUUGAGCGUUUGUUUUGAGGUCUGAUCUCGGUGACAGUGAUUUGAGCAUUUGUUUUGAGGUCUGAUCUCGGUGACAGUGAUUUGAGCGUUUGUUUUGAGGUCUGAUCUCAGUGAUUUGUUUUUGAUUGUGGUUUUCUAAGUAGAUCUGGAUGGUGACUGACAGGAUGAAGACAAAUAUUCAGUUUUUAUAAUGAAAUAUAAAUGCAUCACUAAUAUAUUUACAUUCUCCUCUACAACAAAGCAUUAAUCACAGCAGCAUUAUAGCUAUAUAAAGCUUCGACAGAGUUUAACUGUUAUUUUAUCACUGAUGUCGGUUUCGUACACUCAUUGUGACUGUAAAUAUGACACUAUGAUUGGAUGGGAACUCCAAAUUAUCCAAGGACUGAUAACAACUGGAAAAAUACCACUCAGCAGUGUCUGAAAAUACAGCUUCUUGAAUGUCGACAAUCUGGGAAGAUAUACCAACAAGUCACAUCCCAUAAUCUUGGAGUUUUAAAGACUUUAGUUUCCUGAACAGUUUGGAGGUUUGUUGUUUGUUGUCUUUGUAAAAUGUGUACAUCAAUUACUUGUUAAACACAAGCAUUAAAAUGUGUAAUUGUGUGUGCACAGGGCAGCUACAUCAUUAUACAGUGUGCAGUUACACCAUCUUUUACACACAAUCUGGAUUAAUAUCGGUGCUAAAACAUCAGAUGCCUGUGUCAUGAAAGCAUUAAACCGUAACGUAUUACAGCAUUGUUCAUCAUGAUCAAACGACUCUAGAUUUAUAUUAGAAAGCACUUGCAUGUGCUUUCUGUGUUGACCUUCCAGUAGAACACAGUCAAUUAAUCUGCAAUGUCUUCUGGUGCGUCUGUUAUGAUUUGAUCUGAUUAUUGUGUUCAAACUUUGAAUGUGUCAUCCUGUGAAUUAAAGUUGC